CAUCAAUUCAUCAUAUCAUGUCAUGAGAUUCAUGUAGUUAGUUACGAAAUCUAUAAUAUACUAAAAGGGAUAUAUAAUCAUCAGAUAGCACGUUCACGUCGGACAAGAAAAUUGACCAAUCACGUUAUAACGUUUUGACACGUCAUCUAGACUUUGCGUCAUCUGGAGACCCGAGAAAAUGCCGACCCGAGCUUGCCCUUCCUCAUAUCUUGGCUGAAAUCCAGUUUCUCUUCAAUCGGCGGAGGGACGAUUCAGUUUCUGUAACGUUGCGUUGUGAUUUAUUCAUCUUAAAUCGUCUUAAUUCGCAAUCCCACUACGAAACUUUCGUUUGUGUUGUUCGUCGCCGAGAUCGUGUAUAAAUAUGCUCCACUACGAAUCGCGAUAUCAAACUCCGACGAGCUAGGCACCAAACAAUCCGCCACAGCGCUGCUGACGAAGAUCUGCCGCUGACACACAUUGUCCCUCCAAUCUUCCAGCCCAAUCGCUUCUGUAAUUAGAUACGUCAAUGGCAGUGGCGGCUGCGUCGCGGUUUCUGAUGUUUGGUGUGGUAAAGGAUUAGGGUUCUCGACGGAUGCGGUGUCGAUGGAUCAUCCGAGGAGGAAUCUUCUGCCGUCGCGUCGCAAAAUCGACGUGGACAAGAACAAUUCGAACCAAACAGAGAUAAAGGUGGUAGCUUUAUGUUCUAUGUAUCUAAUUGCAAGUCAAAGUUUGAGUCUUUUUUUGGUGGUGUUUUUAGUUUAGAAUGCCGUUUCUGAUUACCGGGCAAGCUAUUGAUUGGUACAGUGAAUGAAAGGAUGAAAUCGGAUCUCUUUUCUUUUCUACUUUUGUUGGUUUGGGAAAACUUUGUAAAUGUCAUGGAGAUGCGUUGUCCAUUUUUGUCUUUGUAGUUAGGGAGCUUGAAUAUUGAAGAUAUGCUCAAUGCUGCAUCACCUGGUAUAUGAUGAAAUAUCAGUUAUAUCCAAGGCACGUAUGUUGAGAUUCCCUGAAGAUGAACUUUAUUUUUUUAUAACUAAUGUUGAGAUCUCUCGAGUCUUCACAUGUUCUUCAAUUUAUGGAGUCACCAGAAUACAAUAGGUUUACACAUAUAGUCCUCGAUACUACUCCCACGGAACAUACUCUGCAGUUUCUUUCUCUGUCCGAUUUCUAUGAUUCUUCAAUUGGCAAAAUAAAACUCAAGAAGAAGAUCACUGCGGCAGCUUCAGCCUUUACGUCUGUCUUUGGUAAAAAGGAGAUACAACAACAAAGACCUUCCAACGAGUUGGACCAACUGAAAGAGAGAAUGGAGAAAGUUCUAAAUGUUUUCAGUGAAGUGGACACUACUGAGUUUGUCAUUGUAACCAUAGCACCAUUCUCUUACCUGUUCAUAAGAUCAUUAGUUUACAUGUCAUGGUAAUAAACUGAGUCUUCGGGGUUACAUGCAUCUUUAAGAAAAGAAAGUGUGCCAGUUCACAAGUUUAUUGUUAAACAGCUUCUCCCUCAUUUUGAAUUCGAUUGUAAAUUUUGAUCAGUGAGACGAAAGGAACAAACGCGUGUGCUCAGACUUAUUCAGGACGAUACGAAGCAUUUGACUAGGGACAUUUUGAACUCAUGUUUCUACAAAAAGCAGCUUCACGGUUGGUAUGAGCUAUACAGUGACAACUAAAUCUGUCUGAGUGUCAAAUGCGUAGCAAAUCCGUUCAAGCUGUAACUUGGAUUCUUCUUUUACUUUUUCUUAUAAUGUAAUAUAUUUUAUCUUUGCAUUCAGACAUGCAUAAUAGAAACAAACGCGUAGAUAUUAAGAUGGACUGUUUGUCAUUGCAGAGGUAGUUGGCAGAGCACAGUAUGUAGAACUGGUAGAUGGACCACGUUAGAGUUCAUUCCGUAUUCUAUGUAACGCGUUUUCAACUGGUGGAUUUGGCACAAUCGACAUUUUUCGUAUAGUAGUAAUUCAUCUAUUAUUGAUUUUAUGUAACAUAGACAACACAUUUUUGCUUGAUUAUUCAUUGAGAAAGUAAGGAAAUAAGUUUGUCUCUCUCUUUAUUGGAGCCAAUUCGAGUUGAGCACAUUGUGCUUGAAGUGGAUGUUUUGUAAUAGAGAAAUGCAUCUUUGAUUAGAAUAAUUUAAGUGAUUUCCACCA